GAUGAACGCUAGCGGCAGGCCUAAUACAUGCAAGUCGAACGGAAUUAAGAGGCUUGCUUCUUAUGAGAGUGGCGCACGGGUGCGUAACACGUAUGCAACCUACCUUUAACUGGGGGAUAGCCUUCCGAAAGGAAGAUUAAUACCGCAUAACAUAAUGGAGUGGCAUCACUUUAUUAUCAAACUUAUUGGGUUAAAGAUGGGCAUGCGUCCGAUUAGCUAGUUGGUACGGUAACGGCGUACCAAGGCGACGAUCGGUAGGGGAUCUGAGAGGAUGGCCCCCCACACUGGUACUGAGACACGGACCAGACUCCUACGGGAGGCAGCAGUAAGGAAUAUUGGUCAAUGGACGGAAGUCUGAACCAGCCAUGCCGCGUGCAGGAAGACGGUCCUCUGGAUUGUAAACUGCUUUUGUUAGGGAAGAAACUUCCGUACGUGUACGGGACUGACGGUACCUAAAGAAUAAGGAUCGGCUAACUCCGUGCCAGCCGCCGCCGUAAAAC
rnacentral:rRNA from 1 species